CCUACGGGCGGCUGCAGAGAGGAAUAUUGGUCAAUGGCCGGAAGGCUGAACCAGCCAAGCCGCGUGAAGGACGAAGGUGCCAAGCAUUGUAAACUUCUUUUGUCAAGGGACAAAAUCAGGCUCGAGAGCCUGACCGAGGGUACUUGAAGAAAAAGCAUCGGCGAACUCCGUGCCAGUAGCCGCGGUAAGACGGAGGAUGCGAGCGUUAUCCGGAGUUAUUGGGUUGAAAGGGUGCGUAGGCGGACUGUUAAGUCAGCGGUAAAAGCCUGGGGCUAAACCCCGGCGAGCCGUUGAACUUGGCUGUCUUGAGAUGUCGAGAGGUAUGCGGAAUGCGCAGUGUAGCGGUGAAAUGCUGAGAUUUUGCGCAGAACUCCGAUUGCGAAGGCAGCAUUCCGGCGGCGAUCUGACGCUGAGGCACGAAAGCGUGGGUAUCGAACAGGAUUAGAUACCCGAGUAGUC
rnacentral:rRNA from 1 species